GAGAUUGUAGGGCAGCUGAAGUUGGGGACCGGUGAUCUUAAGUGCUUCUGAAACUUUCGUGUCUAAUACAAGUCAUGUGGGAAUCUCCUUAAAAUGCAGAUUCUGAAUCAGCAGAUCUGGGUGGGGCUAAGAUACAGCAUUUCUAACCUGCUGCCAGAUGAGGUCUAUGUUCUUGUCUACAAAACAGCAAGGUCUAGCUUUCAAGGUGCUGGAAGACGCUGCUUUGUUGCUGGGCUAGGUGAAGUUCUCUGAAGUUCAGAGGCUGGAAAGUUGACUGCCUGCUGGGAGGACACGAGCAGGCAGGCCCCGGGGAGAAGAAACGGUAAAGCAGGAACGGGAAGGACAGGUGAAACACUGAGCAGUGAGGGGCCAGAGAAGGGCUCUAGAGCCUGGCAUACCUUACUUUGAGCCAGAAGAGGUGUCCAAUAAUGAUCAUGUCAACCUGCAAACGGAGAAUGGAGUUUCCUGGGACUGGGGACACUUUGCCCAGUGAGCAUGAAGGCACCACGAAGGAAGUGAGAAGUUCUGAAGGGCCACGGAGGAAACGUGUGCGAUAAUUAUGUGUGUGAGGAAACCCCCUGAGGAAGGCCAUGAGAUGGGGUGUACCAUGGACAGUUGAGGACCACCCCUUGUUUAAGUCAACAUGGUAACUUUCUUGGCUUCCCUGGA